rnacentral:lncRNA from 1 species
UGGGACACGGCAUGGCGAGCCUUAACCUGUACAGCCUUGACAGCAUUCUUUGAUGUAUCCACCAAACCUUUCGUAAUCGUCCCAAUGAAACCGGGUUGUGAAGUUCCUUGGCCGGUCUCAUCAGGUUGAGGAGACAAACGAAGCCCUAACCCACUUGUAAAUUUCGCAAAGGCGGACUUUUCAUUAUUCUCAACAUCAGAAUCAGUUCUUGCGGAAGAAAAAGGCUGAGGGACUUUCAAACUUUUGGCCCAUGUUGAGAUCCCAGAGGCGGAUAGCUUUGAAGCUACCCCUUUAGGUGAAUCAUCGGUUGUUCCAGCUUCUACAGCAGCAGGAGGAGGGUGACCAUCUGGUGUUCCCGUAGCAGGUGAAUCAGAUGAUGACAUAAUGGUUUCUUUCUAACUCCAAAUCCAAAAAUGUGAGUUUAUCAAUGUUGCAAGUCCUUUUUUUUUCUGCAGGCAUUCAUAUUCAAAAACAAUACAUUUGAGUGAGAUAAUUUAUAAAUCAAACACAAUAACAGAAACUUUAACAUCAAUAUCAAGCUAAAAUGUAAAGAAGAUUGUUUGCCCUAAACCAUCAUAUCCUCGCCGUUACAAAAGACCAUUAAAGCUUUGGGCAAGAGGAUGAACAUUUGACCAAAGUUACUAAAUCAAGAAUCAAUGGGGCCAUCACCGCAUGAAACUCAUCAAUAAGCAGAAAGGCUAAGACUAAAACCAUAGAAUCGAAAGUGAAGCGUUCGAAAUCAGAUCACAGAGCCGUGAUCAAAUUGAAAAGCAUAAGAGGUAGGGGGCACAACCUCAUAGAUCCAAAGGAAGAAAGCUCGCUCCGUGGAUUAAAAAUUAAAAAUUAAAAAUUAAAAAUUAAAAAUGGAGACGAACAAGUAGAGAUUCGACGGGGCUAGCUAGGGCUCGAGGAUUCGAUUGGGGAUCCGAGAUCAAAGUCACGUGGGAGUUGCGGUCAACAAUAAAUCACGUUUUGAUGGUGCUUUCAACGUGGCACGUGAUCUCUCCACUUUUUUUUUUUUUUUUUUUAAAAGAAUGUUUAGGGACACUAAACUACAAAAGGAGGGAAACUAGUUUACAAUUGUGCCUUCAUAAUGUGAAUAUAGCUAUCAGCCUUAGAAACAGAAAGCAUUUGGAACCGACAAUUGAGCCACUUCAUUGCAGCAGGCUUUUUUACAUAUACGUAAACAUUCCAGGUUAAAAAAAAAGUAAACUAUCACAAUAUUGUACAGAACCAUUGUUUAUAUCUAUCUAUUUCACAAGCAUCUCCGAGUUCCAGUAACUAGACGUAGUGCAGUGGGUGGUGUAUGGAACAAGUUUCCUUAAUACACUAAUACGCAAGCAAAUCAUACGUUGAUCAAAUGCAAGGAAAAAAUAGGAAGAAAUAUGAAUUGGGUAUUACAUACCUUCCCUUCGAAUAGUGACACAUCAUACAACCUCUCUGAACAAAGAUUAUAAACCUUGUAUUUUUCCUACAAAAAAAAAGAAAUUAUAAGAAAGCAAUGUACUAACUAUACAAAUUCUUAGAGACAGAUUAGCUAGCAUUGACAUAAGAACAUCGAAAAUGCGGACUUAACUUUGCUAAGAAAUUAGUUGUACUACCUUGUGUUGAGUUUCAAGAAAGCUAAUAACUUCUUCCAUCUGGUUGCGGUAGAAACCCUGCAUUAAUGUUUAGAACAUUCAUUGGCUAGAUUUAACAUAAAACGAAUAUGGCACCAAAACUAAAACUAAAACUAAAACCAGGGUAACGAUUACAAGGUUACUAAUUGACUCACUUCGACAUAUCCAAAAAAGCCAGAACUCAUGUCACCAGCAGGAAACCCCAUUGCAAUAAUGUUCUCUGUUAUGUACGUCAGAUCCAAAUCAAACCCUCCUUCCUGAACCACAAACCAAGCAAAAGGAACCAAUUAAUUUCAGACAAGGAGCAAGCUAGCAUGGAAUAAACUGAGUAGUAAAAACACCUGGUAUCUUCUUUUGUUCUGGGACACGGCAUGGCGAGCCUUAACCUGUACAGCCUUGACAGCAUUCUUUGAUGUAUCCACCAAACCUUUCGUAAUCGUCCCAAUGAAACCGGGUUGUGAAGUUCCUUGGCCGGUCUCAUCAGGUUGAGGAGACAAACGAAGCCCUAACCCACUUGUAAAUUUCGCAAAGGCGGACUUUUCAUUAUUCUCAACAUCAGAAUCAGUUCUUGCGGAAGAAAAAGGCUGAGGGACUUUCAAACUUUUGGCCCAUGUUGAGAUCCCAGAGGCGGAUAGCUUUGAAGCUACCCCUUUAG